GGGGGGGGCAAGCGUUGUUCGGAAUUACUGGGCGUAAAGGGCUUGUAGGCGGCCAGCCAAGUCGGACGUGAAAUCCCUCGGCUCGACCGGGGAACUGCGUCCGAUACUGGUUGGCUUGAAGCCGGGAGAGGGAUGCGGAAUUCCAGGUGUAGCGGUGAAAUGCGUAGAUAUCUGGAGGAACACCGGUGGCGAAGGCGGCAUCCUGGACCGGUCUUGACGCUGAGGAGCGAAAGCCAGGGGAGCAAACGGGAUUAGAUACCCCGGGUAGUCCUGGCCCUAAACGAUGAAUGCUUGGUGUGGCGGGUAUUGAUCCCCGUGCCGUGCCGGAGCUAACGCAUUAAGCAUUCCGCCUGGGGGAGUACGGUCGCAAGGCUG
rnacentral:rRNA from 1 species